rnacentral:rRNA from 1 species
UACGUAGGGGGCAAGCGUUGUCCGGAAUUAUUGGGCGUAAAGAGCGUGUAGGCGGUCCGGUAAGUCAGCUGUGAAAGUCAAGGGCUCAACCCUUGAAUGCCGGUUGAUACUGUCGGGCUAGAGUCCGGAAGAGGCGAGUGGAAUUCCCGGUGUAGCGGUGAAAUGCGCAGAUAUCGGGAGGAACACCAAUGGCGAAGGCAGCUCGCUGGGACGGUACUGACGUUGAGACGCGAAAGCGUGGGGAGCAAACAGG